UUUUCUUUCUAGAGUCGCAUCUGUCACAACACAACCACAGCCAGUUUAUUUACGUGCUCUGCAUUUAUUGAGUUGCCUUGGUUACUGGUUACGCAGUGUACCGUACACUUGUGUUGGACUACAUUUCUCUAAAGUUAAUUAACUGUUAAGACCCACAGAUGGAUUUCCUUUUCAAAGGGCUUCUGCUGGGGACUGCAGUGGUGGUGGCGGCUGUGACGGUCGCCUACGAGUUGUGGCAGUAUCGGAACGUGCCCAGGCAGUAUCAAGCACACGGCGAGCGGAGGCGUAGAGACGACUAACAAAAUCCACUGGUUGGAUCACGAUGUCUUCUCUCUCGCACCUCAAGCAAGCAAAAUGUUUUGAUUAUUAUUUUAAGUCUUAGAUAUUAUUGCACUUUAUAUUCAAUGUGUUUAUUUCUCAUAAUACUGGUUACAGACAUGUGUCAAGAAGAGUUCUUCACAAAAACAUUGAUGUUGUAUAAUGAGGGUUUUCGCGAAUGAAAGAUCCGCUAGAUGGCGGGACGUGGAUGUGGG